rnacentral:rRNA from 1 species
CUUAUGGUUAAGGAACUCGGCAAAUUUCCUCCGUAACUUCGGGAUAAGGAGGACCCCAGUAGCGUGACGAGACUUGCUCUCCGAGCGUGAAGGGGUGGCACAAAAUUGAGGGAAGCGACUGUUUACCAAAAACACAGCAGCGUGCUAAGCCGUAAGGCGCUGUAUACGCUGUGACUCCUGCCCGGUGCUGGAAGGUUACGGGGAUGGGUUAGUCCUUCGGGACGAAGCUCUGAACCUAAGCCCCAGUAAACGGCGGCCGUAACUAUAACGGUCCUAAGGUAGCGAAAUUCCUUGUCGGGUAAGUUCCGACCUGCACGAAUGGAGUAACGACUUCCCUACUGUCUCAACCAUAGACCCAGCGAAAUUGAAGUACGAGUAAAGAUGCUCGUUAGCUGCAGAAGGACGGAAAGACCCCGUGGACCUUUACUAUAACUUGAUGUUGUGUUUUGUCAUAUGUUGUGUAGGAUAGGUGGGAGACAAGGAAGCAUGGACGCUAGUCUGUGUGGAGUCAUCGUUGAAAUACCACCCUGCAUAUGGUGAGGCUCUAACCUAGACCCGUUAUCCGGGUUGGGGACAGCGUCAGGCGGGUAGUUUAACUGGGGCGGUUGCCUCCUAAAGAGUAACGGAGGCGCCCAAAGGUUCCCUCAGCCUGGUUGGCAAUCAGGCGUCGAGUGCAAUGGCGAAAGGGAGCUUGACUGCGAGACCUACAAGUCGAGCAGGAGCAAAAGCUGGGCAUAGUGAUCCGGCGGUUGCGUGUGGAAGCGCCGUCGCUCAACGGAUAAAAGGUACCCCGGGGAUAACAGGCUAAUCUUGCCCAAGCGUCCAUAGCGACGGCAAGGUUUGGCACCUCGAUGUCGGCUCAUCGCAUCCUGGGGCUGAAGCAGGUCCCAAGGGUUGGGCUGUUCGCCCAUUAAAGCGGUACGCGAGCUGGGUUCAGAACGUCGUGAGACAGUUCGGUCCCUAUCCUCUGUAGCCGUAGGUGAAUUGAGGAAAGCUGUCCCUAGUACGAGAGGACCGGGACGGACGCAGCUCUCGUGUGCCAGUUGUCCUGCCAAGGGCAUGGCUGGUUAGCGACCUGCGGAAAGGAUAACCGCUGAAAGCAUCUAAGCGGGAAGCCUCUUCCAAGAUGAAUUCACCCACAGGGUUAACCUGGUAAGGCCCGUGGUAGACCACCACGUUGAUAGGCCGGAAGUGUGAGCGUGGCAACACGCUCAGCUGACCGGUACUAAUCGGCCGAGGGCUUGAAUUC